GCGCUGGUGAUGCAAGGGCUAGCAUCCCUACCUUGUGAGUAGGUCAUCUGGGUUUGAGUCCCAGCCAGUGCU